AAGAAUUUUUUUAUGUUUUUAAUGAAAACAAGACAAAAAUACAAAGUAAGUCAUUUUUUGCUGUGUGACUCCAUUGAAUGUUCUUGUGUGAUAAAGAAAGUCUCUCUCUUUGUGUGUGAUGUAGAUUAAAUAUGACCGGGCCAAAAUGGUCACAGCAGUAGGUCAAAAUCAAAUACAAGAACAUUCUGCAGAAUGCAGUGAAAAAGAAUACCCAGAGACAAGGCACGGGUGGUGGGUCACCAAAAGCUGAGCUCACCCCAGCAGAGGCCAGCUUUGGAGCUAAAUAAAGGCAGGCCUGUUGGAGGGGAUCCCUGGGGGAAAAGAGACAAGCAUAGGUCCCUCCCAAGAUGCCACCCGCUUCAAACAAGUGUCUGGCAGCACUGUGUUCCUGUUAAAGCCACCAGCACGAGCACCAGACGAUGCUGAUCCAGUGAGUACUCCAUCAAAGGCCUGGCAUGUCUUGUCUACUAGCUUCAAUAUGAAUCUGAUUAAAUGUGAUAGGGUCAAGGCCCCAUUUCAUCAGCACAUAACGACGACGAUGAUGAUGAGGAGACCAUCUCUCUGGAUUCCAAAAGGCAUAAGGACCCAGUGUCAUUGGUGCACUGGACUGCACACACAUAAGGAUAAAAG